UACGUAGGGUGCAAGCGUUAAUCGGAAUUACUGGGCGUAAAGCGUGCGCAGGCGGUUGUGUAAGACAGAUGUGAAAUUCCCGGGCUCAACCUGGGGGCUGCACUUGAUACGUAUGGACUGGAGUGCGGCAGAGGGGGAUGGAAUUCCGCGUGUAGCAGUGAAAUGCGUAGAUAUCCGGAGGAACACCGGUGGCGAAGGCGGAUCUCUGGGCCUUACCUGACGCUCAGGUGCGAAAGCUAGGGGAGCGAACAGG
rnacentral:rRNA from 1 species